rnacentral:rRNA from 1 species
GAUGAACGCUGGCGGCGUGCCUAACACAUGCAAGUCGAACGGAGAUUCCGGACGGUAGUUUUCGGAUGGAUGACUGUAAUUCUUAGUGUCGGACGUGUGUGUAACGCGUGUGCAACUUGCCCUACUCCGGGGGAUAGCAGCUGGAAACGGCUGGUAAGUCCGCCUACGUCGGUUAAAUCGCAUGAUUUGAUCUGGUAAUGAGCAAUCAUGUAUAGGAUGGGCCUGCGCUCGAUUAGCCAGUUGGCAGGGUAAAAGCCUACCAUAGCGACGAUCGGUAGCCGGACAGAGAGGUCGGACGGACACAUUGGGACUGAGACACAGCACAGACUCCUACGAGAGGGGGGAGUGGGGGAUAGAGCAAAAUGGAGGAAGCGCUGAAGGAGCGACGACGCGAAAGUGAAGAAGUAAGGGAGUAAGUAAAGCGCAAUUAGCAAGGAAGAUGAUGACGGUACCUAACUAAGAAGCCACGGCUAACUACGUG